AUGAACGCUAGCUACAGGCUUAACACAUGCCGGUCGAGGGGCAGCGGUAUCGAAAGCUUGCUUUCGGUAGCCGGCGACCGGCGCACGGGUGAGUAACGCGUAUCGAACCUGCCUCAUACUCGGGAAUAGCCUUGCGAAAGUAAGAUUAAUGCCCGGUGUUUUCAGAGUCCCGCAUGAGGCUUUGAACAAAGAUUUAUCGGUAUGAGAUGGCGAUGCGUCCCAUUAGCUUGUUGGCGGGGUAACGGCCCACCAAGGCAUCGAUGGGUAGGGGUUCUGAGAGGAAGGUCCCCCACAUUGGAACUGAGACACGGUCCAAACUCCUACGGGAGGCAGCAGUGAGGAAGAUUGGUCAAUGGGCGGAAGCCUGAACCAGCCAAGUAGCGUGCAGGAAGACGGCCCUCCGGGUUGUAAACUGCUUUUAGUUGGGAAUAAAACGGGGCUCGUGAGCCCCCUUGCAUGUACCAUCAGAAAAAGGACCGGCUAAUUCCGUG
rnacentral:rRNA from 1 species